GCUCUGUUUGGCAAGGCAUACAUUAAAAUUUGUUUGAUACAGAGAAGAUUAGCAUGGACCCUGCACGAGGAUGACACGCAAAUUCGUGAAGCCUUCCAUAUUUAA